GAUUAAACAAGGAUCUACACAAACUCAAUGUUUGACCUCAAUUGCAGCGCCCUAACACUGAGAAAUCAACAAGAAUUAAGCUUCAAAACACCACAUACUACGCAAAAAUCAAACCCAAAGAAUCCAUGAUGAUUGAAUUCUGCCAAUCGUUUUCACAAGCAUCUUAUGUACAUAACUGAAACUUUGCUUCUCUAAACCCCCAAAAAUCUGCACCUUAGCCAAGAUUUAACCAUCAAUUUGGGAUUCAAUAAUCAUCUAACAAUAGCCAUUAGUAGUUAUACUCUCAAAAACCACAAAAAUCACGACAUGAGAUUAACCAAACAAUAUAAAAAUAUAGCAGAAAUCCGUGCAACGGAGAGAAGGAAAGGAGUACCAGUGAGUAUAUUGAAAUACAAGAGAGAAAAGAAAGAGCUGAGAUGCUUAGAGUUCGAGCUUGCAAAAAUAACGAUCGACUGGCCGAGCAAACGAAUCUGCAAUUCAAAGCAUCUAAAAUUAAAGCUUCAUUCAACUAAAAUUUUCAGUGAUUACACAGUCAUAAUGGAGUGCCAAACGAUGAAAUUUCGUUCUCGAACCGGAAUCGCAACCUUGAACGGACGGAGCUUCAACGCCCUUUACAUAACCCAAACUCAGAAAUGACUCUAGCCUUAGAUUAAUUCCGUGGUUUUGGAAUAAGAAAUCAGAAAUUAGGAGAACAAGGCUAAAAUUCAAAACAAAACUUGAAAAGAUUUUAAUCCUUAAUUAGAAUAGAAAAUCUCGUGCGUUGCCUUCCUCUGUUUCUCUGUUGUUUGCUCUGUUUUCUUUAUUUUUUUUUAUGUUUUUCAUCCGCCUCUAUUCUGCUGUUGAAAAGCCUAGCUGGUCUGUUCUGGGUGGAGAUGAGGUCAUUCGUUGUAAGGGAAAUAGGUGGAGAAGAAGCUGGAAAUCAAGGGUCUUCCAUGGUGUUCUCUGUUCGAUGAAGAGAGCAGGGGUCGUUUGAAGAAGACGACGCGCGGGGGUGGGGGUGGAUGGGUGGUCUAGGGGUAACAACUAGUUUUCAUUUUUCUGUAUAUCUUCAGCUUUUUCAAUAAAGAAGACUGGGGAGGGUCUUGAUGCAUCCAUCGACAGAUUGCUCAUCUAAGGGUGGGGAAUCUGAUCGUAUUUUUUGUCUUAGCCCUAUUUAAUGCGAGGGAUUUAGGGUACAAAGAGGGGAAAGGAUUAUUGGGUGUUCUGGGUGUUUAAAAUGGACAGGGAUUUAAAUCAAAUGAAUUGUUCCAAGCCGGUGAGCUACAAA
rnacentral:lncRNA from 1 species